GCUGGGCAUGGUGGUGCAUGCCUGUAAUCCAGCUACUUGGGAGGCUGAGGCAGGAGAAUCACUUGAACCCGGGAGGCGGAGGUUGCAGUGAGCCAUGAUCAAGCCACUGCCCUCCAGCCUGGGUGACAGAGUGAGACUCAUUCUCAA
rnacentral:SRP_RNA from 1 species